rnacentral:rRNA from 1 species
UACGUAGGUGGCGAGCGUUAUCCGGAUUUACUGGGUGUAAAGGGCGCGCAGGCGGCCCUGGAAGUCAGAUGUGAAAGAUCAAGGCUUAACUUUGACAGGUCAUCUGAAACUUUGGGGCUUGAGUAUCAGAGGGGAAAGUGGAAUUCCUAGUGGAGCGGUAAAAUGCACAGAGAUUAGGAGGAACACCGGUGGCGAAGGCGACUUUCUGGCUGACAACUGACGCUGAGGCGCGAAAGCGUGGGGAGCAAACAGGAUUAGAUACCCUGGUAGUCCACGCCGUAAACGAUGAUUACUGGGUGUAGGGAGUAUCGACUCUCUCUGUGCCGAAGCAAACGCGAUAAGUAAUCCACCUGGGGAGUACGGCCGCAAGGCUAAAACUCAAAGGAAUUGACGGGGACCCGCACAAGCAGUGGAGUAUGUGGUUUAAUUCGAGGCAACGCGAAGAACCUUACCAGGGAUUGACAUCCUGCGCUAGGCUUGGAGACAGGUUGUUCCUUCGGGACGCAGAGACAGGUGGUGCAUGGUU